rnacentral:pre_miRNA from 1 species
ACAACAUUGGGACCGUCGGUCGAGCAAAUAUCACCCGCUUGGUGGAAGAUCUUCCCUUUGUCGU